GAUGAACGCUGGCGGCGUGCCUAAUACAUGCAAGUCGAGCGAACAGACGAGGAGCUUGCUCCUCUGACGUUAGCGGCGGACGGGUGAGUAACACGUGGAUAACCUACCUAUAAGACUGGGAUAACUUCGGGAAACCGGAGCUAAUACCGGAUAAUAUAUUGAACCGCAUGGUUCAAUAGUUAAAGACGGUUUUGCUGUCACUUAUAGAUGGAUCCGCGCCGCAUUAGCUAGUUGGUAAGGUAACGGCUUACUAAGGCAACGAUGCGUAGCCGACCUGAGAGGGGGAACGGCCACACAGGAGCUGAGACACGGUCCAGACUCCGACGGGAGGCAGCGGUAGGGACUCUUCCGCAAUGGGCGAAAGCCUGACGGAGCAACGCCGCGUGAGUGAAGAAGGUCUUCGGAUCGUAAAACUCUGUUAUUAGGGAAGAACAAAUGUGUAAGUAACUAUGCACGUCUUGACGGUACCUAAUCAGAAAGCCACGGCUAACUACGUG
rnacentral:rRNA from 1 species